AUAGCAGUCGCCCAAACCGACCGCGGACCAGCCCACUCAGCCUGGGAGUGAGACGGGAGGCAGGCUGGAGCCACAUCCACAUCCACACAGCAGCCCGCGGCGUGAUAAGGACGGACCCGAAUCAAGUCAGGACUGGUAGGAACCGAACAAAAGCUUGCUUGACAAAGCUGCGAGGAAAAGAAGACGGCGCCGCGUCACGUUAGUUGUGGCCAAUUCCCAACAUUCCCCCCCCGACAUUGGUAGCGAAAGCGCGCGGUCCUCGAGCACAUUUAUAUACCGGAGAGCUAGCGGAAUGUCAGCUAGCUAAGCUAAUUAGCUUUACCUUUGCUAGCUAAUUAGCUUGUCUCACUAAAUUCGCUCCUUGGACUGGAUGGGAAAAGCCGUGCCUAAAGUGCGUUAUCCAUUGCCCUGACUCGGCCAUUAUGUCCCGCCUUCAACACGACAUCAUUGCCUGAUUUCAUGCCUUUCUAGAGCCAGUCCGCCUCUCUUCAUCCUGCGUCCUUUUCUUUCCCGAGAGGAGAACAAACCCAGCGACUAUUUUUGAUCUGCCGCCUAUCUCAUGUUAAUGUCGACCGACGUUGCUUCUAUAAUGCUGCCCGUCAGUCGGGGGAUGAUGGACCGGGACAUAGACGCCGCGGCCGGAGGUCCGGCGGCGGUCCGGGGGAUGAAGCGAGGCGACCCGGAACCCGACGCUCACGCAGCGGCUGUCCUGACCGACCUGACCGGGGCGGAGUGCAAGAGACCGAGGAUAGACGGCACCGGCGACAUUGGCCAGAACAAUGAGCCCUUAAAUCCCGGUUUCCAUGGAUACCCACCUCACAGUCAGGGGUCUCAGGAUUCAACAGGAGCACAGGAUGCUUUGGUGGCCCAGCCUUUCGCAGCGUUCCCUCCUCCACCGCCUCCCCAGAACGGGAUAGCGGGGACAGACUUCAUCCCUGUGACCAUGUUUGGUGCCGGGGGUCAAGGCACAGCUGAGGCCAAGCCUGAGGAGACAUCCCAGGGAGAGGUGGGCUUGCAGUGCGUGACCGGGGGAACCUCGGCCGGUUCCGGAGCCGACUCACCAGAUGCCAAAGGGGCCCCCAAACGCCUCCACGUUUCAAACAUCCCCUUCCGCUUCCGUGACCCUGAUUUAAGGCAGAUGUUUGGGCAAUAUGGCAAGAUUCUGGAUGUAGAAAUUAUUUUCAAUGAGAGGGGAUCAAAGGGUUUUGGCUUUGUGACGUUUGACACCAGCGCGGAGGCAGAGAGAGCCAGGGAAAAGCUCCAUGGCACUUUGGUGGAAGGUCGUAAGAUUGAGGUGAAUAACGCCACUGCCAGGGUGAUGACUAACAAGAAAAUGGUCAGUCCCUACCCUAAUGGAGAGGCUCUGAGCACGCUGCCCUACGCAGGGUGGAAACUGAGCCCUAUGGUCGGGGCUGUGUACGGACAUGAGCUCUAUGCAGUCCCGGGGUUCCCCUACCCUUCAGCGGCUGCAGCGGCCACCACCGCAGCUGCCGCGGCUGCCUUCCGCGGCGCUCACUUGCGGGGGCGCGGGCGGCCCGUCUACAGCGCCGUGCGAGCGGCCGUUCCUCAGCCCGCCAUCCCCACCUACCCUGGUGUGGUGUAUCAGGAUGGGUUUUACGGCGCUGCAGACUUAUAUGGGGGCUAUCCUGCUGCUGCCGCCGCCGCCGCCGCUGCUGCCUAUCGCUAUGCUCAACCCGCAGCCGUAACCGGAGCAACCGCCGCAGCUGCCGCAUACAGUGACAGUUACGGACGGGUUUACACGGCAGAUCCAUACCACGCUCUGACCCCCGCUGCUGCUGCCGCCUACGGUGUGGGAGCCAUGGCCAGUCUAUACCGAGCGGGCUACAGCAGGUUCGCUCCAUACUAGCGCCACAGGAAGUUCACAUCUCUCCACAAGCCUUUUUUUAAGCUCUUUGUUUGGCAGACGCACCCUUCUAUCUUUUCUGAUGUCGGACUCCCCCCCUCCUUUUUGUCGUCGUCGUCUCAUUGCCACAUCACCACCUCUUUGUCUGUCUGCACGACGAGGAUCCCGCACAAACCUCACAAACACUACAAGGUCUGCCAGGAGAGAGACUGUUCCCGCCGGAUCUUCCCACACUACAAAGUCCACAUCCUCGCUAGAUCCGCCCUCAAGCCGCUGGAGGACGCUGCUUAUGGCGCAGUGGUGCGUUCAGGAACCAAAACUGUGUUUAAAAAAAAAUUAAAAAAAAUGGUAGGAAUUGUUCUUUUUUUAGAUGGGAGCGUCAGACUGACAGGAACCACUAUUGUCUCAGUCGCUACCAAAAACAAGGGGAAAAAAGUCACCCAUGUUGUUCCCCCUACUUUACCUCAGUUUUAUGUCUGCCUUACUUACCCUACCUUGGUUUCUGCUCCAGUUAGCCACCAGACCCUCAAAAAGGACUUCUUUUCAUCCAUCUCCAGCAGCACAGCGCCACCUUGUGAGGCCUGACGGACACAACAUGAAGGUAGUGCACUCAUACAACUGCUGACAUGCAGGUAGUGCACUCACACACAUGCAGGUAGUGCACUCAUACAACUGCUGACAUGCAGGCAGUGCACUCACACACUGCAGAAAUGCAGGUAGUGCACUCACACACUGCUGACAUGCAGGUAGUGCACUCACACACAUGCAGGUAGUGCACUCACACACAGCUGACAUGCAGGU